rnacentral:rRNA from 1 species
UUUUUUGCGGAGAGUUUGAUCCUGGCUCAGGAUGAACGCUGGCGGCGUGCCUAAUACAUGCAAGUCGAACGGGGAGCAAUGCUUCGGCAGAGCUCCUAGUGGCGAACGGGUGAGUAACGCGUUGGUGACCUGCCCCGAAGAGGGGGAUAACAGUUCGAAAGGGCUGCUAAUACCCCAUGUGGUCGUGGAGACUAGAUGCUCUACGUCUAAAGGAGCAAUCCGCUUCGGGAGGGGCCUGCGUCCCAUCAGCUAGUUGGUAGGGUAAUGGCCUACCAAGGCGAUGACGGGUAGGGGACCUGAGAGGGUGACCCCCCACACUGGCACUGAAACACGGGCCAGACACCUACGGGUGGCAGCAGUAGGGAAUAUUGCACAAUGGGCGAAAGCCUGAUGCAGCAACGCCGCGUGAGCGAAGAAGGCCUUCGGGUCGUAAAGCGCUUUUCUGGAGGAAGAGAAAGGACGGUACUCCAGGAAUAAGGAUCGGCUAACUACGUGCCAGCAGCCGCGGUAACACGUAGGAUUCAAGCGUUAUCCGAAUUUACUGGGCGUAAAGCGCGUGUCGGCGGUUCGGCAAGUUGGACGUGAAAGCUCCUGGCUCAACUGGGAGAGGCCGUUCAAAACUGCCGGGCUAGAGGACGGUAGAGGGAGGUGGAAUUCCCGGUGUAGUGGUGAAAUGCGUAGAUAUCGGGAGGAACACCAGUGGCGAAGGCGGCCUCCUGGACCGUUCCUGACGCUCAGACGCGAAAGCUAGGGGAGCGAACGGGAUUAGAUACCCCGGUAGUCCUAGCUGU